CUGGAAACUGUCAUUAGGGUUAGGGAAACUGUCAUGAGAUCUGCAUAUUUUAGAUAGAGGCUGCUUGCCUUAUUUGGGCACCUAAUGAAAAAGACAUGGAGGCCAGGUGCGGUGGCUCAUGUCUGUAAUCCCAGCACUUUGGGAGGCCAAGGCGAGUGGAUCACCUGAGGUCAGGAGUUCGAGACCAGCCUGACCAACAUGGCAAAACCCCGUCUGUACUAAAAGUGCAAACACAAAGGGAACUGCGUGGCUUGUUUCUACCUGAACAUUGUCAAGUGAUUUCAUCCUUUGAAACACAGUUGUGAAGUGUGUCCAGCAGUCUGAGAACAAGAAGAAGAAGAAAAUCUAAUCCUUCAGGGUGUCUGUGUGCCAGCCCUGCUCUCAGCACUUCCCAUGUGGAACUCCUUUACUUCUCCUAACAACUCCAUGACAUGGGUUAGACUGUGAUUGUUCCCAUAUUGUUGGUAGGGAAACUGAGGCAUGCAGGUGUUACAGAGCUCUCUCAAGUGGCAAGCUUUCUGGGUGGUUACAGAGUGGCAGAGCUGGGGUAUCCCAUGAUGUCACCACACUGCUAUAUGGAAAAGAACAUUAAUCGAGCACCUACGUGCUUGAUUCUCUUAAUUCUGUGACUGAACUCUCAAAACACCCUGGAGCACUGCGUGUUUUGAAAUAUACAAAUAGUGGGAAACGAAAUCUUUGUUCUGGAUGCAGUUAUAAUUUGGAAAGCGAGGAAAUAAAUUAUAACAAGGGGAAAAAACAGACACAGAGGGAUUGAAAUGCAUAACAAUAGAGAUGAAACACGAAGAGUGAUAAAUGAAGAUUGAGUGUGCACACCUUCUGGAGGAGCCCUGAUUGAGUAUUUUAAAAUACUACUAAAGUCAUGCCGUGUGACUUCUGAAGCUAGCUCCUAAGAAGUCCUUGCAGCUUCUGCCUGCGACUCUUAGAACACUUGCUUUGAAGGAUGCCAGAUGCUGUCUUAAAAGUCUGAGCACUCUGAAACCAUCAUGCUGUGAGGAAGCCCAAGCUAACCACAUGGGCAAAAAAGAUGCCCUCUGACUGCCACCAUUUGAGACACUCUAAUUAAGAACUGCCUCAUUGAGCCCAUGAGGCCCUGUGAAUGAUAAUAAUAAAUUGUUUUUAACC
rnacentral:lncRNA from 1 species